rnacentral:rRNA from 1 species
UACGAAGGGGGCUAGCGUUGCUCGGAAUCACUGGGCGUAAAGCGCACGUAGGCGGAUUGUUAAGUCAGGGGUGAAAUCCUGGAGCUCAACUCCAGAACUGCCUUUGAUACUGGCGAUCUCGAGUCCGGGAGAGGUGAGUGGAACUGCGAGUGUAGAGGUGAAAUUCGUAGAUAUUCGCAAGAACGACCAGUGGCGAAGGCGGACUCACUGGCCCGGUACUGGACGCUGAGGUGCGAA